UACGGGGGGGGCAAGCGUUGUUCGGAAUUACUGGGCGUAAAGGGCGCGUAGGCGGCCAUCUAAGUCAGACGUGAAAUCCCUCGGCUCAACCGAGGAACUGCGUCUGAUACUGGAAGGCUUGAAUCCGGGAGAGGGAUGUGGAAUUCCAGGUGUAGCGGUGAAAUGCGUAGAUAUCUGGAGGAACACCGGUGGCGAAGGCGGCUCACUGGCCCGGUACUGACGCUGAGGUGCGAAAGCGUGGGGAGCAAACGGG
rnacentral:rRNA from 1 species